rnacentral:tRNA from 1 species
CAGCCGCCAGCCAGGCCAGGCGGCCGAUGUUGCCGGCUUGCCCACCUAUGGCAUCCACGCAGCCGACGAUCACGUCGUCGACGGCUGCC